rnacentral:misc_RNA from 1 species
UCUCCGUUGGUGAACCAGCGGAGGGAUCAUUACAGAGUUGAAAAACUCCAACCCCUGUGAACUUUACCUCUUUGUUGCUUCGGCGGCUCGGUCCCCUCGGGGUUCGACGCCGCCGGAGGUUCCAAACUCUGAAUUUUAUUGUAUCUCUGAGACUUAAAAACAAAUAAUCAAAACUUUCAACAACGGAUCUCUUGGUUCUG